rnacentral:rRNA from 1 species
GAGUUUGAUCCUGGCUCAGGGUGAACUGCUGGCGGCGCGCUUAAUGCAUGCAAGUCGAGCGUGAUCGUGGCUUCGGCCACAAUGAUAAAGCGGCAGACGGCUGAGUAACGCGUGAGUAAUCUGCCCUCCGGUGGGGUAUAACCUCGGGAAACUGAGGAUAAUCCCGCAUACGACCUGCAUCCUUUGGGAUGCAGAUGAAAGGCUUCGGUCGCCGGAGGAGGAGCUCGCGUCCUAUCAGGUUGUUGGUGGGGUAAUGGCCCACCAAGCCGAUGACGGGUAGCUGGUCUGAGAGGAUGACCAGCCAGAGGGGGACUGAGAACGGCCCCCACUCCUACGGGAGGCAGCAGCAGGGAAUCUUGGGCAAUGGGCGAAAGCCUGACCCAGCGACGUCGCGUGGGGGACGAAGGCCUUCGGGUUGUAAACCCCUUUUCCGAGGGAAGAUACAGGACGGUACCUCGGGAAUAAGCCCCGGCUAACUACGUGCCAGCAGCCGCGGUAAUACGUAGGGGGCAAGCGUUACCCGGAAUCACUGGGCGUAAAGUGCGCGUAGGCGGUUGGAUAAGUCUCUUGUGAAAGCUCCCGGCUCAACUGGGAGAGGUCAAGGGAUACUAUUCGACUUGAGGACAGCAGAGGUAAGCAGAAUUCCCGGUGUAGCGGUGGAAUGCGUAGAUAUCGGGAGGAACACCAGUGGCGAAAGCGGCUUACUGGGCUGUAUCUGACGCUGAGGCGCGAGAGCGUGGGGAGCAAACUGGAUUAGAUACCCUGGUAGUC